rnacentral:rRNA from 1 species
UACGUAGGGGGCAAGCGUUGUCCGGAAUCAUUGGGCGUAAAGCGCGUGUAGGCGGCCCGGUAAGUCCGCUGUGAAAGUCGGGGGCUCAACCCUCGAAUGCCGGUGGAUACUGUCGGGCUAGAGUGCGGAAGAGGCGAGUGGAGUUCCUGGUGUAGCGGUGAAAUGCGCAGAUAUCAGGAGGAACACCAAUUGCGAAGGCAGCUCGCUGGGACGUGACUGACGCUGAGACGCGAAAGCGUGGGGAGCAAACAGG